AUUGAACGCUGGCGGCAGGCCUAACACAUGCAAGUCGAGCGGAUGAAGGGAGCUUGCUCCUGGAUUCAGCGGCGGACGGGUGAGUAAUGCCUAGGAAUCUGCCUGGUAGUGGGGGAUAACGUCCGGAAACGGGCGCUAAUACCGCAUACGUCCUGAGGGAGAAAGUGGGGGAUCUUCGGACCUCACGCUAUCAGAUGAGCCUAGGUCGGAUUAGCUAGUUGGUUGGGUAAAGGCCUACCAAGGCGACGAUCCGUAACUGGUCUGAGAGGAUGAUCAGUCACCCUGGAACUGAGACACGGUCCAGACUACUACGGGAGGCAGCAGUGGGGAAUAUUGGACAAUGGGCGAAAGCCUGAUCCAGCCAUGCCGCGUGUGUGAAGACGGUCUUCGGAGUGUAAAGCACUUCAAGUUGGGAGGAAGGGCAGUAAGUUAAUACCUUGCGGUUUUGACGUUACCAACAGAAUAAGCACCGGCUAACUUCGUG
rnacentral:rRNA from 1 species